AGCCUAUAUACGUCCCACUGCUGGGCACAGGCCUCCCCUCAAUCAACCAGAGGGGGCAUACUUCACCACGCUGCUCCAAUGCGGGUUGGUGGAGGUGUUUUUACGGCUAAUAGCCGGGACCAACGGCUUAACGU